rnacentral:rRNA from 1 species
UACGGUGGGAGCAAGCGUUGUUCGGAUUUACUGGGCGGAAAGGGCGCGUAGGCGGCGUGACAAGUCACUUGUGAAAUCUCCGGGCUUAACCCGGAGCGGCCAAGUGAUACUGUCGUGCUAGAGUGCGGAAGGGGCUACUGGAAUUCUCGGUGUAGCGGUGAAAUGCGUAGAUAUCGGAAGGAACACCAGUGGCGAAAGCGGCUUCCUGGUCCAGCACCGACGUUCAGGCACGAAAGCGUGGGGAGCAAACAGG